rnacentral:rRNA from 1 species
AAGUCGUAACAAGGUCUCCGUUGGUGAACCAGCGGAGGGAUCAUUACCGAGUUUACAACUCCCAAACCCCUGUGAACAUACCACUUGUUGCCUCGGCGGAUCAGCCCGCUCCCGGUAAAACGGGACGGCCCGCCAGAGGACCCCUAAACUCUGUUUCUAUAUGUAACUUCUGAGUAAAACCAUAAAUAAAUCAAAACUUUCAACAACGGAUCUCUUGGUUCUGGCAUCGAUGAAGAACGCAGCAAAAUGCGAUAAGUAAUGUGAAUUGCAGAAUUCAGUGAAUCAUCGAAUCUUUGAACGCACAUUGCGCCUGCCAGUAUUCUGGCGGGCAUGCCUGUUCGAGCGUCAUUUCAACCCUCAAGCACAGCUUGGUGUUGGGACUCGCGUUAAUUCGCGUUCCCCAAAUUGAUUGGCGGUCACGUCGAGCUUCCAUAGCGUAGUAGUAAAACCCUCGUUACUGGUAAUCGUCGCGGCCACGCCGUUAAACCCCAACUUCUGAAUGUUGACCUCGGAUCAGGUAGGAAUACCCGCUGAACUUAA